GAUGUCAUGUCACGUCAUGUUUUGACGUUUGUAGUUUUUCAGAAGCGUACUUUUGCAAGCAAAUGCUAGUGAAACAAUGAGUGUUGGACAUUCAAGUGCUGCUUUCACGAAAAAUCGUGUUUUGCGUGUGGCAACAUCGGCGAGUGCAAAAAAUAGACCAUUUGAACGACUUUGAGACUGAACUUGUACCAAAUUUAUAAUUUACAAAUUUUGCAGGUUUAAAAAAAACAAUUUGAACACAUGAACCAGUAUUAUGGGGAUUAAGGAACGAAGCCAAUAAAUGUUCGCUUCAUAUGUGCAUAAUUCAUCACUUAUUAGCUGCAAAACAGCCAGUCCAAAAGCGAAAUAAAUCAAAAACGAUUUCGAAAUGCCGACAUUGGUUUAUGGAUGGCAAGGUAGCAUCCAUCUCGUAUCUCCUUAAGGUGUGGUGCCGGUACGGUUCCCAUCGAUGUACCCAAAUGGGUUCUUUGUUGUUAUGUUAAUCAGAUCGCAAUGGAAUGACUAAUUAUACUACUGGUCAAGAGUUUGAUUUCGGCUGAGCCAGUGGCGCCGCAUAACACAAAUUGGCCAGAACCCAGAUUUUCUAAGCAAACGAGAGUUUUGUGAUAAAAACCUAUUAACUAUCAAAGGGAAAUUGAAAAAAGUUGUGCGGCUCUUGGGUGAAACUGGUGGUGCUUUUCAGGCUUUCAGUCCUAAAAAAUCUCCAAUUGCUCAAAGAGGAUCUCCACAAGCAAAGCGACUUCUAUCUAAAUGAACGUGAAAUAAGUC